CACAGUCUCACACUCUAAAACUCUGUUCAGUCUCACACUCUAAAACUCUGUUCACAGUCUCACUCUCUACAACUCUGUUCACAGUCUCACACUCUAAAACUCUGUUCACAGUCUCACACUAUAAAACUCUGUUCACAGUCUCACACUCUAAAACUCUGUUCACAGUCUCAAACUCUAAAACUCUGUUCACAGUCUCACACUCUAAAACUCUGUUCACAGUCUCACACUCUAAAACUCUGUUCACAGUCUCACACUAUAAAACUCUGUUCACAGUCUCACACUAUAAAACUCUGUUCACAGUCUCACACUAUAAAACUCUGUUCACAGUCUCACACUCUAAAACUCUGUUCAGUCUCACACUCUAAAACUCUGUUCACAGUCUCACUCUCUACAACUCUGUUCACAGUCUCACACUCUAAAACUCUGUUCACAGUCUCACUCUCUACAACUCUGUUCACAGUCUCACACUCUAAAACUCUGUUCACAGUCUCACACUCUAAAACUCUGUUCACAGUCUCACACUCUAAAACUCUGUUCACAGUCUCACACUAUAAAACUCUGUUCACAGUCCCACACUAUAAAACUCUGUUCACAGUCUCACACUCUAAAACUCUGUUCACAGUCUCACACUAUAAAACUCUGUUCACAGUCUCACUCUCUAAAACUCUGUUCACAGUCUCACACUAUAAAACUCUGUUCACAGUCUCACUCUCUAAAACUCUGUUCACAGUCUCACACUAUAAAACUCUGUUCACAGUCUCACUCUCUAAAACUCUGUUCACAGUCUCACACUAUAAAACUCUGUUCACAGUCCCACACUAUAAAACUCUGUUCACAGUCUCACACUCUAAAACUCUGUUCAGUCUCACACUCUAAAACUCUGUUCACAGUCUCACUCUCUACAACUCUGUUCACAGUCUCACACUCUAAAACUCUGUUCACAGUCUCACACUCUAAAACUCUGUUCACAGUCUCACACUCUAAAACUCUGUUCACAGUCUCACUCUCUAAAACUCUGUUCACAG
rnacentral:lncRNA from 8 species